UUGUUCACUGGAGAUAAGAAGCAGCCAGUGAUCGUGCCUAUGUUUGCUGCUGGACUGGGAAUGCUGGAACCCACCAAAGAGUCUCAAAAAUCUCCAGCACUUUCCCUUUCUGCUCCUGUGGAGAGUGGAGAUAUUCUAUGCACUCAGGUGGCGCCCUCUUUGGCCAUUAGUGUUGACGGUAUGUUUUUUCGCCGUGCCUCCUUCUCUAGAGUUCAAGAAAAAGCCACUCGUCACUCACGGCAGAAAUCCUACUCCUGAUGCUGCCUCGCUUACUCCUGUCUGAGCACUUCCUUCCUCUCUCACAACACACUUUUCUUCUCUCCAUUUUUCAAACUUCCUGUUCCUUCACAAUUCACACACCACUUAGCAAAGUUUCUUUCCUGGUACUUGUUUUAUCAGUGUUGAUUUAAAACAACACCAAACUAGCAUUAGCAGAACAAUUUGAGAAGUAGCCAUCAAAAUCUUGUUUAUUAUCCAAAGAAUGGGAAACUUUUUCUUGAAACACUAUUUAGUCAGCAAAGAUAUAAAUUCAUUAAUCUCAGUUUCCUUUUUAAAUGUUAAUUUAUGUUUAUAUCUAUAUAAAUAUACCUUUUAUCUAUAUACCUCUCUCCCCUCUUGUUCACUGUUAAAGUCCAGACUCAUGCUGGCUACACACAGAGGCUGAAAUAUACUACCUCAGACUAUAAGUAUGCAGCUUCGACUGUGAUUUAUUACCUUGCCAUUAUAUGCAAGACUUGAGAUAAAGAGAACUAUACCCAUUAUCAAGUAUGUUCUCAGCUGUGUUGUAAAAAAAAUACAACCAAAUUGGUCCCUGUGCACCAGCUUCUGUCUCAGGUUUGACUAAAAAAGAGAUUGCAAAUCUUUUUUGGAAUAGCUGAUCUUAUUGCUGGUGCUUACUUGAAGCCAUUGUACAGCUUGGCUGAAAUUAAAGGGGAAACACCACCACAUUUUACAUAUAGAUGCUACAACACAUUGAGAUACUAUUUUAAAAUUGUGAAGGUGUAAUUAGGUGGUCAUUUCUGUAACACAGUCUAUGUAAAUGUGUAAAUCUGCUUUCAUUCAGAUAAAAGCAACACAGUUUUUCCUUGCUGUCUCAAAACACACUGUGACCAGCAGUGAAACAUUUGUUAAUGCAAUUUUUUGACCAACUUACCUUGCA